GACUAUUUAGCUAUAUAUUACUAAGCUUUUGUUUUGAAAACAAAAGAAAGAAGCUAAUUACUUCUAAUAGUCU